ACCAUGAUUUUUUGCUGCUCCUAAAAGUUAGAACAUUUUGUUAUUUACUUUGAGCAUGGUGAAACGUAUUAAAAAGGAUAAUCACAAGAUAAAAUUUAUACAACAAAAUUAUAGCCGAGAAAUAAUUAAUGAAACUUACUAUACUCAGCUGAGGUUGCUUCUCAUUCAUACUUUUAACCUGGACAAAAGUAAUGCAACGUAAAUGAAUUUCACAUCCGUUGAAAAUCAUGAAACUAA